rnacentral:SRP_RNA from 1 species
GCUGGGCAUGGUGGUGGGUGCCUGUAAUCCCAGCUACUCAGGAGGCUGAGGCAGGAGAAUCGCUUGAACCCAGGAGGCGGAGGUUGCAGUGAGCGGAGAUUGCGCCACUGCACUCCAGCCUGGGCGACAGAGUGAGACUCUGUCUCAA